rnacentral:snRNA from 1 species
GUACUUACCUGGCAGGGGAGAUACCAUGAUCAUGAAGGUGGUUUUCCCAAGGCGAGGCUUGUCUAGUGCACUCCAGAUGUGCUGACCUCUACCAUGUCCUCAAAUGUGGGAAACCUGACUGCAAUUUGUGGUUGGGAGGGACUGUGUUCACGCUCUCCCCUG